GUGCUCUCUUCGGCAGCACAUAUACUAAAAUUGGAACAAGACAGAGAUUGGCAUUGCCCCAGAGCAAGAAUGACACACAAAUUCGUGACGCUUUCAAUAAAAAA
rnacentral:snRNA from 1 species